rnacentral:rRNA from 1 species
GAUGAACGCUGGCGGCGUGCCUAAUACAUGCAAGUCGAGCGAACGGACGAGAAGCUUGCUUCUCUGAUGUUAGCGGCGGACGGGUGAGUAACACGUGGAUCACCUACCUAUCAGACUGGGAUAACUUCGGGAAACCGGAGCUAAUACCGGAUAAUAUUUUGAACCGCAUGGUUCAAAAGUGAAAGACGGUCUUGCUGUCACUUAUAGAUGGAUCCGCGCUGCAUUAGCUAGUUGGUAAGGUAACGGCUUACCAAGGCAACGAUGCAUAGCCGACCUGAUAGGGUGAUCGCCCACACUGGAACUGAGACACGGUCCAGACUCCUACGGGAGGCAGCAGUAGGGAAUCUUCCGCAAAGGGCGAAAGCCUGACGGAGCAACGCCGCGUGAGUGAUGAAGGUCUUCGGAUCGUAAAACUCUGUUAUUAGGGAAGAACAUAUGUGUAAGUAACUGUGCAGAGCUUGACGGUACCUAAUCAGAAAGCCACGGCUAACUACGUG